ACAGCAUGGUGGGGGCAUUUUCUAAUUAGUUCUUUUAAUCUCUCCCAGAUCUCAUGAAACAUCUCUCUAUCCAACUGAGAAAAACUAGUUAUGAUCUUACGGAUUU